UCCCUGGUGGUCUAGUGGUUAAGGACCUAGCAUUGUCACUGCUAUGGUACAGGUUUGACCCUGGUCCAGGAAC
rfam:Sus scrofa chromosome 8.